AGUACUGCGAGUGAAGCGGCAAGAGCUCAAAUUUGAAAUCUGGCACCUUCGGUGUCCGAGUUGUAAUUUGUAUAAGCAUCUUUUGGAUUGGUCCUUGCAUAUGUUCCUUGGAACAGGACAUCAUAGAGGGUGAGAAUCCCGUUCAUGGUGGGGAGUCCAAUUCUUUGUAAAGUGCUUUCUAACAUUCCAGUUGUUUGGGAAUGCUUCUCUAAGCGGGUGGUAAAUUCCAUCUAAAGCUAAAUAUUGGCGAGAGACCGAUAGCGAACACUUACAGUGAUGGAAAUAUGAAAAGUACUCCCAAAGGAGAGUGAAAAAGGACUUGAAAUUGUUGAAAGGCAACUGCUUGACAUCACUCUUAAUGUUUCUCCAUCAGUCUUCCUUUUGGUUGGUGCACUCACUAUUUCUUAUGCCAACAUCAAUUUUCGCGGAACGAUAAUGACAUUGGAAUGUGGCUCUUUCGGGAGUGUUAUAACCUUUGUUGAUGCUACCUGCUUAGACUGACGACUGCCCUUUUGCUACGAUGGUGGCCUAUGGAUCUUUCUUUUCCCCCCUUGAAAAAAAGACAA
rnacentral:rRNA from 1 species